rnacentral:tRNA from 1 species
GGCCGGCUAGCUCAGUUGGUUAGAGCGUCGUGCUAAUAUACUUGAUAUCUGAACGCGAAGGUCUUGGGUUCGAUCCCCACGUUGGCCA